GAGACAUAAGCAAACUCGGGACAAGUGGGCGUGCGCUCGACACGCGGCCAUCUUUCUAGUCCCUUGGUUAUACUCGGUUUUGGACAAGUUCCACGGUCAGUGAGACGCGUCGCGAUGAGCAGGCAUCAGGUAAACACAGAUGACCCAGCGAUUACAACCGUCACCGCAAAACAACAUUUUUCUCGAGACGCCUCCGAAGAUUUGCUGCCAACGGCUUAGUUUUUAAUAUAUUCCACAGACAUUUUCAGAAAAUAUUCUUGAAACGUUACUCUACAAUACUGUAAUCAGUUAAUAUAAAAUAAAUUGCCUGUAAUUUGUAGAAAAAUGUA